rnacentral:rRNA from 1 species
UGAAGGAAAGGUGAAAAGAACCUCGAACAGAGGAGUGAAAGAGACCCUGAAACCAUGCGCCUACAAGCGGUCGGAGCUUCUAUAUGGAGUGACGGCGUGCCUUUUGCAUAAUGAACCUACGAGUUACUUUUGUUGGCCAGGCUAAGGGCUUCAGGCCCGGAGCCGAAGCGAAAGCGAGUCUGAACAGGGCGUCAUAGUCAGCAGGAGUAGACGCGAAACCAAGUGAUCUACCCAUGAGCAGGUUGAAGGUUGGGUAACACCAACUGGAGGACCGCACCGGUAAACGUUGAAAAGUUUUCGGAUGACUUGUGGGUAGGGGUGAAAGGCUAAUCAAACUUGGAGAUAGCUCGUACUCCCCGAAAUGCAUUUAGGUGCAGCCUUCGGGUUCGAGUUGAAGAGGUAGAGCGACUGAUAAGAUGCGAGGGCUUCACCGCCUAUCAAGUCUUGAUAAACUCCGAAUGCUUCAACUCAAGACCGAGGAGUGAGGGCAUGGGUGCUAAGGUCCAUGUCCGAGAGGGAAACAACCCAGACCAUCAGCUAAGGUCCCGAAAUAAUAGCUAAGUUGAAUUAACGAAGUAGAAUUGCAAAGACAGCUAGGAUGUUGGCUUGGAAGCAGCCAUUCAUUUAAAGAGUGCGUAACAGCUCACUAGUCGAGGAAUUCUGCGUGGAUAAUAAUCGGGCAUAAGCUAUUUACCGAAGCUAUGGAAUAUGCAAAUAUUGGUAGGGGAGCAUUCCACGGGUCGCAGAAGGCCUGUUUUGAGACAGACUGGAGACAGUGGAAAAGCAAAUGUAGGUAUAAGUAACGAUAAAGGAGGCGGGAAACCUCCUCGCCGCAAGACCAAGGGUUCCUGAUCAACGCUAAUCGGAUCAGGGUAAGUCGGGCCCUAAGGCGUAGCCGAACGGCGCAGCCGAUGGCAGAAACGGUUAAUAUUCCGUUACUGAAUGUAGGAGUGACGCGGAGACGGAGCAGUGACACAUCCGCCUGCAGACGGAAUAGCAGGUUGAAGAGUGUAGAUAUUGUCCCGGUAGGCAAAUCCGCCGGGAUAGUCGAACUUGAUAGUACCGGGCGUCCUCGGACAACCGGAUAGCGAUGGUAAUCAGACUCCCAAGAAAAUCCGCUAAACAUAUGCUACAUUCACCCGUACCCCAAACGGACACACGUGGUUGGGUAGAAUAUACCAAGGCGCUCGAGAGAUUCACGGUUAAGGAACUAGGCAAAUUGACCCUGUAACUUCGGGAGAAAGGGUCCCGACUGAAAGAAGUCGGGCGCAGAGAAUAGGUCCAGGCAACUGUUUAACAAAAACACAGGGCUGUGCGAAAUUGGAAGAUGAAGUAUACAGCCUGACACCUGCCCGGUGCUGGAAGGUUAAGAGGAGACGUCAUCGCAAGAGAAGCGUAGAAUUGAAGCCCCAGUAAACGGCGGCCGUAACUAUAACGGUCCUAAGGUAGCGAAAUUCCUUGUCGGGUAAGUUCCG